GAUGAACGCUAGCUACAGGCUUAACACAUGCAAGUCGAGGGGAAACGACAUCGAAAGCUUGCUUUUGAUGGGCGUCGACCGGCGCACGGGUGCGUAACGCGUAUCCAACCUGCCCACCACUUGGGGAUAACCUUGCGAAAGUAAGACUAAUACCCAAUGAUCUCUCUAGCAGACAUCUGAAAGAGAUUAAAGCUUUAUCGGUGAUGGAUGGGGAUGCGUCUGAUUAGCUUGUUGGCAGGGUAACGGCCCACCAAGACAACGAUGAGUAGGGGUUCUGAGAGGAAGGUCCCCCACAUUGGAACUGAGACACGGGUCAAACUCCUACGGGAGGCAGCAGUUAGAAAUGUUGGUCAAUGGACGAGAGUCUGAACCAGCCAAGUAGCGUGCAGGAUGACGGCCCUAUGGGUUGUAAACUGCUUUUAUAAGGGAAUAAAGUGAGUCUCGUGAGGCUCUUUGCAUGUACCUUAUGAAUAAGGACCGGCUAAUUCCGUGCCAGCAGCCGCCGUAA
rnacentral:rRNA from 1 species